rnacentral:ncRNA from 1 species
CCGGAAGAGCACCGCACGUCGCGCGGUGUCCGGUGCGCCCCCGGCGGCCCAUGAAAAUCCGGAGGACCGAGUACCGUUCACGCCCGGUCGUAUUCAUAACCGCAUCAGGUCUCCAAGGUGAACAGCCUCUGGCCAAUGGAACAAUGUAGGCAAGGGAAGUCGGCAAAACGGAUCCGUAACUUCGGGAAAAGGAUUGGCUCUGAGGACUGGGCUCGGGGGUCCCGGCCCCG